rnacentral:lncRNA from 1 species
CCUUUUUCAUAUAAGUUUAUUAAACUAUUAGAUUUGCACAAUACACAUUAGGCAGAUGAACCGAGCUUUUUUUUUUUAAUAAUACAUUGGAUGGUAAAAUACUUCACAGAAGAGAAUUAAAUUUCAAAUUAUAUUUUCCCAUAGGAUCUGUUCAUCCCCGUCACAAUGAACAAACAUCUCUAUGCUUUGAAGUGGUUAUUUACAGCUUAUGAUCAUAAACCCCAGAAGUGGAAAAUGAACUGAAGUGCACUUUAGAGCCUUGGAAUAUGCUCCAGGCAGAGUAAGGAAAUGUAAAAAAGGUUUUAAUACUUUCUUUA